AUUGAACGCUGGCGGCAGGCUUAACACACGCAAGUCGAGCGGGGGAAGGUAGCUUGCUACCGGACCUAGCGGCGGACGGGUGAGUAAUGCUUAGGAAUCUGCCUAUUAGUGGGGGACAACAUCUCGAAAGGGAUGCUAAUACCGCAUGCGUCCUACGGGAGAAAGCAGGGGAUCUUCGGACCUUGCGCUAAUAGAUGAGCCUAAGUCGGAUUAGCUAGUUGGUGGGGUAAAGGCCUACCAAGGCGACGAUCUGUAGCGGGUCUGAGAGGAUGAUCCGCCACACUGGGACUGAGACACGGCCCAGACUCCUACGGGAGGCAGCAGUGGGGAAUAUUGGACAAUGGGGGAAACCCUGAUCCAGCCAUGCCGCGUGUGUGAAGAAGGCCUUAUGGUUGUAAAGCACUUUAAGCGAGGAGGAGGCUACUUUAGUUAAUACCUAGAGAUAGUGGACGUUACUCGCCGAAUAAGCACCGGCUAACUCUGUGCCAGCCGCCGCAGUAA
rnacentral:rRNA from 1 species